AUAAACAUGUGGAGCCCACUAACUAUUCAUUACUGUUCAUUACUGUUCAUUUGGCGGCUUGAUAGAGUUUUCAUUACUGUUCAUUACUGUUCAUUUGGCGGCUUUGAUAGAGUUUGUCUGUCACGGGUGAACAGUGAUGAAUAGUGAUGAAUAGUGAUUAUUUCAGCCUAUAAAUAAGAAGAGAAACGGAAAGAAGAAGAGAAGAAAAAAGAGAAAGGAAGAGAAGGAAGAAAGAGGAAAGAGAGAGCAGAGAGAAAUUCUCCUAGAGAGAAAAUUCAGUGAGCCACAUAUAUUGUAAACACUAAACUUGUAGCCCUAUUAUUUUACAUAGUGGAAAAGUUACUACUGCUGCUCUCCGAGGACGUAGGCAUAGCCGAACCUCGUUAAAUGCUGUGUCUCAUCUACUUUACGUGCAGCUCUGAAUUAUCGCCCAUAUUCUAGGUUAUUUUAUAACACGUUAUCAGCACGAGAAGCUCUCAGGUAUAAUUUUUGUGCUGCACUAUUAUUUAUAAUACUAACCAUUAUGUUGAUGUAAAGAAGAAAAGCCAACGCAUCUAGCUUUCCACUAAUAUAUAUAUAUAUAUGAAAAGUUGAUGGUAAUAUAAUAUACUAUAUUUAUCUGCUUUUCUAUUACUAACCAUUAACAAAAAUGGACCCUUGGUAAUACUAAACAUAUUAUCAGUGGGAGACCGUUACUAAUACUAACAAUUUAAUUUAUGAAUUUAAAUUACCGCACAUUUACAUUUAUUUAAAAGGGUGGUGCGGGUUUAUCGUCCACGCCUUUACGUUCAUUUAAAAGUAUGGAGCAGAAUUAGUGCCCAUACACGCACGUUUAAUUUAUGAAUUUAAAUUACCGCACAUUUACAUUUAUUUAAAAGGGUGGUGCGGGUUUAUCGUCCACGCCUUUACUUUUAUUUAAAGUGUGGUGCGGGUUUUAUCGUCCAUACCAGUAAUUUAUUUACCAGCAAUUUAUUUUAUAGACUAAAUGUGCUGUAUGAUGAGUUUUUACAGUAUGCAGAUCAGGACCAGCAAUUCCUUGAUCCUCAUCAUACAAUUACAUCAGGACUUGAAGAUCCUUGAUGAUGAUAUUGAUAUGAGAGCUGGCAGUCUCUCCGGUACUAUACUUGUAAACAUGUGAUUGGACUUAAAGGUCCUUGAUCCCUG
rnacentral:lncRNA from 1 species